UCCACCGCACCUCCAUCGCACCUCCACCGCUCAUCCAUGGAACCUGUCUUUGCCAUCACCGUCUUCUCCCCUUUCAUCCAUGGAACAGGUCAUGUUUUUAACCCUAUUUUGUACGUUUUUUUUUAAUCUUUGUCAGAUCUGUGAUAAUACUUUUAGAUCUGUUUUAAUACUUUUAGAUCUGUGAUAAUACUUUUAGAUCUGUGAAUCUGUGAUAAUACUUUUAGAUCUGUGAUAAUACUUUUAGAUCUGUGUUGGUUUUGUGAUUAUUUUAAUGUUCUGUGAAUGGAUCAACAUUAGGGCUUUUUGUUUGAUAAUUAGGGCUUUGUCAGAUCUGUGAAUGGACCAAUUUUAAUUUCUUGCAUUAGGGCUUUGUCAGAUUUGUGAUAAUACUUUUAGAUCUGUUUUAAUACUUUUAGAUCUGUGAUAAUACUUUUAGAUCUGUGAAUCUGUGAUAAUUCUUUUAGAUCUGUGAUAAUACUUUUAGAUCUGUGUUGGUUUUGUGAUUAUUUUAAUGUUCUGUGAGAUUUAUAGAGAAAACGUAAUUUCUGUUUCAUAAUUAGGGCUUUUUGUUUGAUCUAAUCGGUUACUGAAUUAUGGUUUUGUUUGUAAGGAGAAUCCGAUUGCAAGCUCACCGGCGAAGGAAGCAUACAGGAAUCGGCUGGCGGACAGCCUCAACAUGGACAGAACUAACAUUCUAGCUUUCAGGAAUAAGCCUCCGACACCAACAGAUGCGGUUCCAAACGAGUGGUUUUGCUUCACUACAAAGCAACAAUUUUCAAAUUCAAAAUUUGUGUGGCCACGUGACCUUUGUUAUGUGCGGUAUUGGCGCCGAAAUGAUGAUGGGAGUUAUGGAUUGGUUUGAUCCAAUUGCUGAUUCGACUACUAGCCAUCUCGAUCUGAUUCCCCACAUGGUUUAGGGGAGAAGUUUAAAACAACAGGACUAUGGAAGGAUAUACGGUGCUACAUUGACAGUCAACUCUACGGUUUGUAGGUUGAAGUUUGCUUAACACGCUUCAACCGUCGAACUUGGUGCGGCUCAAUUGAAUAAGGAAAGCAGGGAGGUCAUGGACCUUAAAGACUUGUGCAGACUAAAACUGUGAUUGAGAUAUCUGCAGCAGUAGCUAGCAGCAGCUGAAGGGAAUGUUGAUCGAAAGAUGUGAACAGAGGCAAGGUGGCAAGGUUUUAGUAAUAGUUGUUAUAUGCAAAGUUGGGUAAUCGGAGAUGAUACCAUAAAUGAAACUGCAUCUCCAUAAGCUAAUGAGUGAGCAGCAACGCACGACAGAUGGGGAUUUUGGCGAGGAGACUAGGGUUCCGGUGAAACCUUUUCACUACAUGUUGUCAUCUCUGUCGACAAUGAACAAAUUGAAGACGUGCAGUGGUGAAAGUUCUUAGACCGGAAGGUUUGUAUAUGAUUUACAGAUCUAUGUGGAAUGCAGAAAAUGGGAGUUGUCACCAGGAGAGGAUAAAAAAGUUCUAUGGCUGAUGCAUUUGUGAGUUUUAAGGUCCAAUUUAAACACAAAAAAAUGAACCAUUGUGGAUUCCAUUAGAAGAACACCUUUUGCAUCAUCCUGUGAAGAGAUGAGGAGCUCUGCUUCAGUGAAGGAAAGGGCAAUCUACUUGUGAAGGUACCUGUGAAGGAAAGUAUGUAUGCCUUCCAAACCAAGAUGCAGGCUUGAUGGGGAUGAAUUUCAUGAUUGGAAGAAAAUAAACCUUUCCUAUUUAAUACCUUGGUCUCACAAGUUCUAAAUAAAUCAUAAUUUUUUUGGUAUUCUCGUACGUGUGAUGCCUUUUUGCUAAAUGAAGACAGCUAGAGCAUGGCGUGGAAGCUUAAAAGAUAUAUAAUGAUGUCUGGUGUUCGACAACGACGAAAUUUUAAAGGGCCAAACUGGGUUAUUAUAUUAGUGUGCUUAGUCAGCAUAUUUUUAGUUGGAUUAUAUAUCUACCAGCCCAGGAAUACUGCUGCCUGCUAUAUCUUUCUGUCCCGUGGCUGUUCCGAUCUUGAAAACACUCCAGCAGUUCCUUCCAGAGAAUUAACAGAUGAAGAAAACACAGCUCGGGUGGUCAUCACGGAAAUUUUGAAAUCAUCUCCUGCUGCUCCAAAGAACGCGAAAGUCGCUUUCAUGUUUUUGACUCCUGGCCCAUUACCGUUUAAAAUGCUAUGGGACAAGUUCUUUCAAGUAAAAGAACCUGUUUUGAUCCAAACAGACCUAACCCGUCAUAAGACCCACACGUAUUUCAUUUUUCACACAAAGGUAUUUCGGGUGCUUUUAUUCGCCUGAGUAAACUGGUGACAAUGAACGGGCGUCAGGUGCUUCUAUUCGCCUCAUAACUGAUUAACUGACCAUGUGAGAUAAAAGAAGACGCCUUUGUUUGGAUUAAGUAUAGAUCGAGUAAAGCUUCCCUUGAGUGGGAUAGCUGGGUUUCGUUUAAUGUUGGGGCUCUGUUGUAAUUUGCUUUUCCUCCUUGUAUUCCAGCCAGUGGCUGGUUGCUUUAUAUUUAUAUAUAAAGUUUGUUGCAGUUCAAAAAAAUAUAUAUAUAACAUUCUUCUGUUGUUUUGAGACCGAAACACAAUUAAUAAGAUUUUUUUUAAAUGACAGAUGCAGACAUGGGAUACUAUUGCUGGAGGCGAUUCAGAGAACCAGGUAACAAAAUUUCUGCAUAAGCGAGCACAACCCCAGCGAGCCCAACGCAACGGCGCAGUGAGCGCAGCCGCAUCGACGUCUAAUAUCAAUUUCUAUUGGUUCAAUUUAGUAUCUCAAUGAGACUACCAGAAUGCCCAGGUCAAUGAAAGAUCUUUUAAUGCCAUCAAGUGAUAUAAGAGAGUUUUGUAUAUGUAAUGCCCAAACGAGUUGAAUUGGUCAUUGUUGCGAGAGAAGCUACCUUGGGCUUGUUCAAAGAUUGUAAAGGAAUAACGGAACAGGGUUCUGCUGAGCGUGACAAGCAUCAAAUGAUGCAGCUGGGCUUCAAUCAGCUACAGCAUGGGCUCAAAUGUUGUCUCAAUAGGCGAUUUUCAGCUUCAACAUCAACUAUAGCUUAUGCAACCUACAAAUCCCAGUUUGACAACUUAGCAUAAUCUCCAAGAUUGCAGUCUACAUGGGCCGGUAGCAUAUCACAAACAUCAGGCCCUUUGGUGAUCUAACUGCAAAACAAUGGAUUCGCUUCCUAUUGCUUCGGUUGCUCGAGUCAUGCUUCCAAGUGGAGGUCCUGUGAAAUGUAAUUGGACAGGGCACAUAUGCAUAUGAUACUGAACUAAUGUUAUUUCUCCCUUUCUUUUAUUGUGGUAAAGUUUUUAUGACAUUUUAUUUUCUAUAUGUACAUACUAUGCAACGGUUUUUGGGACUUGUAUUUAUCAUCGUCUUUUUUC